rnacentral:ncRNA from 1 species
AGUGCGUUACUCCACAGAAUAGCCCACUGCGGGGAAAAAAAGGAGGAUAAACCAUCAACCGUUUGACUAACGGUGCGGCAGUGUGGAGACCUGUCGCAAUGCGGCGUCUGCCAAAGCGCGGGGCCGUGAGAUCACAGCUUGCGGAGGCACUGUGAUCAUAGUCGGAGCACAUGGCA